rnacentral:rRNA from 1 species
UACGAAGGGUGCAAACGUUGCUCGGAAUCAUUGGGCGUAAAGCGCACGUAGGCGGCCUGAUAAGUCGGAUGUGAAAUCCCUCGGCUCAACUGAGGACGUGCAUUCGAAACUGCCAGGCUCGAGUAUGGAAGAGGGUCGCGGAAUUCCAGGUGGAGCGGUGAAAUGCGCAGAUAUCGGGAGGAACACCAAUUGCGAAGGCAGCUUGCUGGGACGGUACUGACGCUGAGGCGCGAAAGCGUGGGGAGCAAACAGG